AAAAAUAUGAAAAUUCUGUUUUAAUUCAUAGUUGCAUCUUUCACUAACAUAUGAUGAAGGUCAAAGACGUUUGAAACUUUUGUUGUCGCCGUUGCUCUAGAGAAUAGCGAUUUUAUAGUGGUUAGUCCACCAAUUUAGUAGUAUUACGCAAUUUUACUAAAUUAAUUGACAAAAAAAUAAAACGAUGCCCAUCUACCAUGAAAUAGAGUUUGAUAUACAUUAAUACAAAUGUAUAAUGUGUUUAGAAAAUUUAAAAUAA